CUCUCCGCUCGCCGCAGCCGCCUCCGCCGCGGCCUCCGGCAGCUUUAUCGCCAGAGUCGUCGAACUCUCGCUUGCUUUCGAAUCCGCUGCAUCGGAUCACCGGCGUGCCCAUCAUGUCAGACGCGGCCGUGGACACCAGCUCCGAGAUCACCACCAAGGACUUAGAAGAGAAGAAGGAAGUUGUGGAGGAGGCGGAGAAUGGGAGAGAGGCAUCUGCUAAUGGGAAUGCUGAGAAUGAGGAAAAUGGGGAGCAGGAGGCCGACAAUGAGGUAGAUGAAGAAGAGGAAGAAGGUGGGGGGGGGGAAGAGGAGGAGGAAGAGGAAGGUGAUGGUGAGGAAGAGGAUGGAGAUGAAGAUGAGGAGGCUGAGGCAGCUAACGGG